rnacentral:rRNA from 1 species
UACAGAGGUCUCAAGCGUUGUUCGGAUUCAUUGGGCGUAAAGGGUGCGUAGGCGGCGCGGUAAGUCGGGUGUGAAAUCUCGGAGCUUAACUCCGAAACUGCAUUCGAUACUGCCGUGCUUGAGGACUGGAGAGGAGACUGGAAUUUACGGUGUAGCGGUGAAAUGCGUAGAUAUCGUAAGGAAGACCAGUGGCGAAGGCGGCCUUCUGGUCCAGUACUGACACUCAAGUGCGAAAGCGUGGGGAGCAAACAGG